ACUCGCUUCACCAGCACAUAUAAAAAAUGAGAACAACACGGAGAAGAUUAGCAUGGGUCCUGACCAAGGAUGGCGUGCACAUGUGUAAGGCAUUUCAUCUUGUU